rnacentral:piRNA from 1 species
UACACUAACACAAAUAAAUGUGGACCGAAA